rnacentral:tRNA from 1 species
GCACCCGUAGCUCAGUUGGACAGAGCAGGGCUUUCCUAAAGCCAAGGUCGGAGGUUCGAAUCCUCCCGGGUGCG